rnacentral:rRNA from 1 species
CUAACACAUGCAAGUCGAACGCGACUGGGGGCAACUCCAGUUGAGUGGCGCACGGGUGAGUAACACGUAGGUAAUCUCCCCCCGAGUCGUGGAUAACCCUCCGAAAGGAGAGCUAAUACAGCAUGAGACCACGGGCUCGAAAGAGACUGAGGUCAAAGCGGAGGAUCGCAAGACUUCGCGCUUGGGGAUGAGCCUGCGGCCCAUCAUGUAGUUGGCGGGGUAAUGGCCCACCAAGCCAUAGACGGGUAGCUGGUCUGAGAGGAUGAUCAGCCACACUGGAACUGAGACACGGUCCAGACUCCUACGGGAGGCAGCAGUGGGGAAUCUUGCGCAAUGGACGAAAGUCUGACGCAGCGACGCCGCGUGGGUGAUGAAGGCCUUCGGGUUGUAAAGCCCUGUGGGGAGGGACGAAUAAGUUGCGGCUAAUACCCGCAGCGAUGACGGUACCUCCUUAGCAAGCACCGGCUAACUCUGUGCCAGCAGCCGCGGUAAGACAGAGGGUGCAAACGUUGUUCGGAAUUACUGGGCGUAAAGCGCGUGUAGGCGGCUAUGCAAGUCGGAUGUGAAAGCCCUCGGCUCAACCGGGGAAGUGCACCCGAAACUGCAAAGCUAGAGUCUCGGAGAGGAUCGUGGAAUUCUCGGUGUAGAGGUGAAAUUCGUAGAUAUCGAGAGGAACACCGGUGGCGAAGGCGGCGAUCUGGACGAUGACUGACGCUGAGACGCGAAAGCGUGGGGAGCAAACAGGAUUAG